GCUCUUUUACCCGGGAUGAUAAUGACAGUACCGGGAGAAUAAGCUCCGGCUAACUCCGUGCCAGCAGCCGCGGUAAUACGGAGGGAGCUAGCGUUAUUCGGAAUUACUGGGCGUAAAGCGCACGUAGGCGGCUUUGUAAGUUAGAGGUGAAAGCCUGGAGCUCAACUCCAGAAUUGCCUUUAAGACUGCAUCGCUUGAAUCCAGGAGAGGUGAGUGGAAUUCCGAGUGUAGAGGUGAAAUUCGUAGAUAUUCGGAAGAACACCAGUGGCGAAGGCGGCUCACUGGACUGGUAUUGACGCUGAGGUGCGAAAGCGUGGGGAGC
rnacentral:rRNA from 1 species